rnacentral:rRNA from 1 species
UGAACGCUAGCUACAGGCUUAACACAUGCAAGUCGAGGGGCAGCAUGAACUUAGCUUGCUAAGUUUGAUGGCGACCGGCGCACGGGUGAGUAACACGUAUCCAACCUGCCGAUGACUCGGGGAUAGCCUUUCGAAAGAAAGAUUAAUACCCGAUGGCAUAGUUCUUCCGCAUGGUAGAACUAUUAAAGAAUUUCGGUCAUCGAUGGGGAUGCGUUCCAUUAGGUUGUUGGCGGGGUAACGGCCCACCAAGCCUUCGAUGGAUAGGGGUUCUGAGAGGAAGGUCCCCCACAUUGGAACUGAGACACGGUCCAAACUCCUACGGGAGGCAGCAGUGAGGAAUAUUGGUCAAUGGACGAGAGUCUGAACCAGCCAAGUAGCGUGAAGGAUGACUGCCCUAUGGGCUGUAAACUUCUUUUAUACGGGAAUAAAGUGAGGCACGUGUGCCUUUUUGUAUGUACCGUAUGAAUAAGGAACGGCUAACUCCGUG